rnacentral:rRNA from 1 species
UGCCAGCCGCCGCGGUAAUACGGAGGGUGCGAGCGUUAUUCGGAAUUACUGGGCGUAAAGCGCACGUAGGCGGUUUGGUAAGUCCGAUGUGAAAGCCCACGACUCAAUCGUGGAAGUGCAUUGGAUACUGCCAGACUAGAGUGUUGGAGGGGAGAACGGAAUUCCUGGUGUAGAGGUGAAAUUCGUAGAUAUCAGGAGGAACACCGGCGGCGAAGGCGGUUCUCUGGACAACAACUGACGCUGAGGUGCGAAAGCGUGGGGAGCAAACAGGAUUAGAUAC